GACGAACGCUGGCGGCGUGCUUAACACAUGCAAGUCGUACGGUAAGGCCCUUUCUGGGGUACACGAGUGGCGAACGGGUGUGUAACACAUGAGUAACUCGCCCACAACUUUGGGAUAACCCUAGGAAACUGGUGCCUAUUCUGGCUAUGUUCCUCUGCUGCAUGGUGGGGGUUGGACAGCUCUGGCGCUUGUGGAUGGACUUGCGGCCUAUUAGCUUGUUGGUGGGGUAGUGGCCUACCAAGGCGGCGAGGGGUAGCCGGCCUGAGAGGGUGAGCGGCCAUACUGAGGCUGAGGGACGGCCCAAGCUGCUAAGGGAGGCAGAAGUGGGAAAUAUUGAACAAGGGGCGCAGGGCUGGUGCAGCAGCGCCGCGGACGGGAUAACAGCCUUCGGUGUGUAAACCGCUUUCAGCAGGAACGAAGCUUUUUGUGACGGUACCUGCAGAAGAAGCACCGGCUAACUACGUG
rnacentral:rRNA from 1 species